CAGAUCAGACAGAGCAGUCUCCACUCACAGCUUCAGUCACCUAAGGUCAGCUGUGGCCAGGAAACAGUAAAUGGAAAAUUCCAGAAAUCAUUCGAUAUUGACACCACACACUGCUACUUCUUGGUCACUUAUUCGUCAGAGCCAAGUGGUGAAGCACAAUGAUUGCGCUUGUUACAACUGUUCUAAAACACGUUACCAUCGACAGUGUCUUCCUCUGCCUGAUUUUAAGGGUAAAACUCUUCAUCUGGGAGUCGAGAACAAGACCGAGGGUGUGUUUCACUCCAGAUGCCAGACAAGGAAAAGAAGCUAGAAGAGAUCAUCUUUUGGCUCAGGAAAGCCCUCUGACCACAUUUCACACUUCAGCAGAAAAAAAGCUACCCACAUUAGAUACCUGACAGCAAAGUGUGGCGUAGAGCCUCACUUCUCCAAUCCUGCCCCUUCCUUUCUUCCUUUCUUCCCUUCCUUCCUUCUGUCUUGGCAAGGGUGUGUUACUCAGCCUUGCUCCAUCAGUUCAAGUUUCUCAAUCUUGGGUCUUCUAUGGGCUGCCUUGCACCUCUUGUUGUAACUGUAAAUCAAAGGUGUAUGUCACUGCUACUGGCAACCUUGAAUUUCUUCUCCUUUUGCCUCCACCUCUGAAUGUUGAGAUUCCAGGAUUUGUGUGGCACUAGUUAUUGAACUCGGGGCUUUGUGAGUGCUUGCCAACCACUCUGCCAACUAAACUGCCGCCCCGGCUUUGAAACAUAUGCAUUUUGAAGGGACACAGCUAUUCAGUCCACAGCACCCCCUAUCCAACCAGAAUCCAACUCAUGAGAGAAGGAACUUCUGCUUUAUUCCUGUUGAGUUCCCAGGGUUUGGUGCAGUGUGAUGGAAUGGGGACUUACCUGAGAAGUAUUCCCAGGCUGUUACAAUGAUCUGUUGCUCUUUCUAACCAGAGGAAGCAGUUUUGCUCAUCUACUCCUUUAGGGUCUGAGUCUGGAACAUGGUGGCCAUUUCUGUGUGGGAUGUGCUUUCUGGAGAAGUGAGAGUUAUGCUGUACGAAUCAGAAUCAGCCGGGCUGCAGUGGCACACGGCUUUAAUCCCAGCAACUUGGGAGGCAGAGUUAGGCAGAUCUCUGCGAGUUCAAGGCCAGCCUGGUCUACAAGAGCUAGU